ACUGCCUUCCAUAUUCAUCACAGCAUCUGCACACUUGACUGGGAAAAUCAUGAGGCCCCUGCCAAGUCGGUUGCACUAGAUCUACCAUGACACUAUGAGGAGAAACUUGGGUUCAAACCAGUGAUUGACAAGAAAAGCAAGAAGUGAGGAGAACAAGAUGAUGAGUAACUAUGAAAGCAAACUCUGAGGAGCUCUUCCUGUGGUAAUAUAUUUUAUCUGUAGGAAGAUAAAAGAUUAUGUAUUAUCUGCUGCCUCCCAGAAAGUUGGAUGAACAAACCUACAGUCCAGGUAAGUCUAGAAGCUGGAGUGAAGAAGACCCUAUUCUCAGGAUUUCAGGAAAUGACAAUCCAAACAACGGCCAGGAUUAAGAACAUGAAAAAUACACAAGAUAAACAUAAUUUUCCAAAAGCUGAAUUUGCUUUACUGCCAAAGCCCAAACCAGUAAGUCUGAACGGUUAUUUUCCCUGGGUUUUUAUUUUAUUUUAUUUUUUUGCCCAACAGCACUUUAUGGUAUCUAUUUGGAAUGGUUCACUCUAAAGACUAACUUGGAAAUGUAGUUUUAUUUCCACUUCAUUCAGUGAGUGAGAAAUCUAGAACAUGUAGCUGUGCUGCAGAAGGGGAAUAAAAAGAAACACCCAUGUGGAGAACUUCA
rnacentral:lncRNA from 12 species